rnacentral:rRNA from 1 species
CCUACGGGAGGCAGCAGUGGGGAAUAUUGGACAAUGGGCGAAAGCCUGAUCCAGCAAUGCCGCGUGAGUGAUGAAGGCCUUAGGGUUGUAAAGCUCUUUUACCCGGGAUGAUAAUGACAGUACCGGGAGAAUAAGCUCCGGCUAACUCCGUGCCAGCAGCCGCGGUAAUACGGAGGGAGCUAGCGUUAUUCGGAAUUACUGGGCGUAAAGCGCACGUAGGCGGCUUUGUAAGUUAGAGGUGAAAGCCUGGAGCUCAACUCCAGAAUUGCCUUUAAGACUGCAUCACUUGAAUCCAGGAGAGGAAAGCGGAAUUCCUAGUGUAGCGGUGAAAUGCGUAGAUAUUAGGAAGAACACCAGUGGCGAAGGCGGCUUUCUGGACUGUAACUGACGCUGAGCCACGAAAGCGUGGGGAGCAAACAGGAUUAGAUACCCUUGUAGUC